GGAACAGCAUGAGAAAUUUGUUUGCUUGCUAAAAAUCCACAAGUUUCGGGCCUACUGACUAUAUUCUCCAACAAUCAUCAAUAAAACAAAUAUACCUAGAACCAACAAUUCAAAUAGGCAGAUAUUUGAAAAAUCCACUCAAAAUAAUUACUCUUUCUAUCCAUUUAGGUAAUCCAUGUGAAACAGGAACAAAUUAAAAAUAAGUUCACUACCACAUAAGUUCAUAAUUCUUGUAAGAAAUAAGCACCCA
rnacentral:misc_RNA from 1 species